GACGAACGCUGGCGGCGUGCCUAAUACAUGCAAGUUGAGCGCUGAAGGUUGGUACUUGUACCAACUGGAUGAGCAGCGAACGGGUGAGUAACGCGUGGGGAAUCUGCCUUUGAGCGGGGGACAACAUUUGGAUACGAAUGCUAAUACCGCAUAAAAACUUUAAACACAAGUUUUAAGUUUGAAAGAUGCAAUUGCAUCACUCAAAGAUGAUCCCGCGUUGUAUUAGCUAGUUGGUGAGGUAAAGGCUCACCAAGGCGAUGAUACAUAGCCGACCUGAGAGGGUGAUCGGCCACAUUGGGACUGAGACACGGCCCAAACUCCUACGGGAGGCAGCAGUAGGGAAUCUUCGGCAAUGGACGAAAGUCUGACCGAGCAACGCCGCGUGAGUGAAGAAGGUUUUCGGAUCGUAAAACUCUGUUGGUAGAGAAGAACGUUGGUGAGAGUGGAAAGCUCAUCAAGUGACGGUAACUACCCAGAAAGGGACGGCUAACUACGUG
rnacentral:rRNA from 1 species